rnacentral:rRNA from 1 species
UACGUAGGGUGCGAGCGUUGUCCGGAAUUAUUGGGCGUAAAGGGCUCGUAGGCGGUUUGUCGCGUCGGGAGUGAAAACUCAGGGCUUAACCCUGAGCCUGCUUCUGAUACGGGCAGACUAGAGGUAUGCAGGGGAGAAUGGAAUUCCUGGUGUAGCGGUGAAAUGCGCAGAUAUCAGGAGGAACACCGGUGGCGAAGGCGGUUCUCUGGGCAUUACCUGACGCUGAGGAGCGAAAGUGUGGGGAGCGAACAGG